UACGUAAAAGACUAGUGUUAUUCAUCGUUUAGUAGGUUUAAAGGGUCCUAGACGGUAUAAUUAGUCUUAAACAAGAAACGGUUAUGCUAGAGUUAUGAUAUGAGAAGGGGAGUAUUUAUGGAGUAGAGUUGAAAUUCUUUGAUCCCAUAACGACUGGUAGCGGCGAAAGCAACCUUUUAUCUAAUAACUGACGUUGAGGGACGAAGGCUCGGGUCACGAACAGG
rnacentral:rRNA from 1 species